GCUUCCGUUCGCAGUUCCCAAUCUGUAGACGGACCUAGAAAAUAUUGUUACAGAUGAAGCCACGUUUCAACGCUGGUGUUAGGGGUCUUUUACUCAAAUGGUGGAAAGUUGUUGCAGAACAGCUCGGGAGAUCACACAUUCUUACAGAGAUGGAGUUUACUGCGAAAAUUAUCAUUGGAGUCAGGGUUGAAGGAUGUAUAUCGAAUAGGAAAAGGCUUGGCCGGACAGCCUCCUGACUCACCUACCCACCUCCUACCCCAUCGGGCAUGUCCUCAACUUGGGGGUGGGUGGGACUCUGGGUGUUUUUCUACAGAAGGCUAAUUCCUGCUCCCUCUUCGGAUUCCGUUUAGGUGACGCUUACCUCUUAGCGCCGAGUUAUCGGAGUCCCUAAGUUGUGACCUCCUUAGCGGCUUCCCCAGUAUCUUGAAGUUCUUGGAGAGCUGGAACGGUGGCCUGUUGCCCUGCAUGGUUUGAGGUGGCAGAUGGAGCCGGAACUGAAACGGCUUGUUUCUGCUGGUCCCGACAAUUCCCGACUCUAACGACACUCCCUUAUCCUUCCUCUUUGGCUUCGGCCCUUGGAAGUAGGAAGGGAGAAAAGGAGUCCGAGCUGCGAAAGGAGGGGAGGAGAAAAGGCGGGCAGAAUGACGGCGGAAUUAUGUUCUGAAAUUCUGCGAGUGUUUAAAUUCACCGACGUGCUUGAAUUCGCAGCUUGAUCGAGUGCCCCCGUCUCCCAUCAGGUUCGGGCAACCGUCACAAACGGUGGGCGGGCAGCCCGAGCCCUUCCUGGCGGGCUGAGCGGGGGUCAGGGGGGAACCGGCGGUUGGACGCCGCCCUCGGCUCGCCCGGGCCCGCCCCCCUCGCGCCGGCGCCGAGCCUGCCCCCCACCCCCAGCUGCGCGCGGGGCCGGCCGGGGAGAGGGAAACGCCGCCACCGGCUCCGGGCCACGCGGCCGCGGUCUGGCCCCGUCGAGCGGGCUGCGGCAGGAAGAAGGCAGGCGGGGCCCUCUCUCGCGGCCCUGUGGCUUCGGCUCGCCGCCUGGCGGCUCCGAAGGCCCGGCGCGUGGCGGGCACCCUGAGGCGCCGGCAGCGGCAAGGCGUCCCCCCAGCUUCGCGGGGAAGACGCGAGGAGAGCCGGAGCAGACGAGGGAACCCCGGGGCGCUGCGCUUCCCCACGGGGCCUCCGGCGGGCGCACACCUGAGUACCAGGUCGCGGUCGGGGGGGAUGCCCCGCUCCAGCGAGCUCAAGGCUGCCCGCCCGCGCUUUUCUUGUCUUCGUUUUUGUUUAUCUCUGCACCCCUUUGGUGGGAACUGGUGCUUUCCCGUUCCAGAAGGUUCUGUGGAACUGUUAAUCAUGCGGCUUUGGCUUUCUGGCCACAGAGGUGGUCCCUGUUGGGCGAGAAAGCUCUUAGAUGCCCUGCGUGUGUGUCAAAAAGGCCAAAUCCUCAUGGCUCUGUGCUGGCGACCAUGCGUCAGGGUUGUUGAUGUGGCCGGUAACCUCGUGAGACAAGCUGCUGUCUCCCCCGGACGAAGAGCAGGCUUGCUUGCUAUAAAAGCAGCGGAUCCCCCCCAAGCUCCGUGUACUUGCGCUGUGGUGUGCACACGCUGUGUGUGGGGUGUCCUUCUGGGUUACGCUGUCUGGCUGCUCCCAUGAGACUCGGGGUGAGGAGGACCCACGCAAAGACGCUGAUGUUCCUGCCGGGUGCUGUGCUGUGAACAGUAAAAAUCGCUCGUCUCUGACCUAUCCCUUCUCUUCGGCAGCUUGCAAGAAACAGCCACGGGCCAGCUUACUAGCUUGAAAGUAGGGUAAAAUGUGGAAGAUGCCUGCUGCCCAGAAGAGCCAUGCUGUUGCUGAUCAUCAUGACUGACAGUGAGCGAGGAGAGCCUGCCAGACCUUCCCUUGUUCCUAGACAACGGGCUCAACACUGAUUAAACUUACCAACCCUGGAAUUUAAUAAAUUUCCUAGGCACUGAGUUUUGGACUUAAACAAAAAAACCCCUAAAAAAACAAGAAACCAAACCAGAAACAAAAGUAAGUAUUGAUUUCUUUGAUGAAUGCACAGUGACUGAUUUAAAAGCUGUGUAUAUUCCAGAAGUUACUGAUACAUGUAAUCCAUUUGAUCUAUGCAAGGAUAACAAUCGAGAAUUAAAACUAAAUCCCCUUUUGGGUCUGGUAAAGCCACUUGGUCUCCCUAAGGAACUGUCUGCCUGCCUUUAGUUUCUCUUUAAAACACCCACAGACAUAAUCUGUCAUGCCUAAGUUUUCCAUCAAGAUUGAGGUAUGUGACCUUUUCUUUCAUAAAGUACUAUCAGAGAAUGGUGGUUCCUAAUCAUAAUGGCAUUUAGGAUUAUAAUUGAUUACUGCCUCAAACGUUCUAGAGUACCAUUUACAUACUCUUAAAAUCAGUGCCUUUUUAAAAUCAUAGUUAGGUCUGUGUCUAAAAUGUCUCUAGUCCAUCUGGAAACACUUGGUAGCUAAAAGAGUUAAGUGAAGGCUACCAAAGCCCUAAACAACAGGCUAGACCUAAACGUUAGUUUAGGUUUGAUUAAAUACUUUUCAUUAAAGACAGAAAAAUAUUUUGGCUCAAAAUCUUUAAAGAAUAUCAAAGUAAUAUACUUUAAGCAGAAUAUCUGAUAUGGUAUUAAGAAUCCAUAGUAAUAAAUUAAUGUUUGGUAUAAACUUUUUUUUUUUGGUAUUAACUUCUUUCUGAUAAUAUGAAUGUUCAUGAGUAGUUUCCCUCUGAAAGUGAGUUUUUUCAAUCCAGUGGCUUAAAUAAAUUUUGUAACUUCUGAGUUCACGAAUGUAAGUGUACUUUUGCAUGUUAAAGACCGUUAGAUCAUAUGGACCACUUCAGCACACUAGAAAUUUUUCCAGUUUGGUUGAUUUGAAUCCAAAAACUUGGUUAAGUCUAGGUUUCACCAAUUAUUAUUAUGUCAUCAGAAUCCAGUCCUGGCCUUUUCAUAUCUUACACUAACAUAACAUAAUUUGCUUUUUUUUAAGCCCAGAAUUGCUGUGAGAAUCAUAUGAGACUAAAGAAAACUAUCUCGACUGGAUUCUGUUAAGUUAAAAAAAAAUACUUAUCUUUAAGAACAUCUCAGAAUUUGGAUAGCCCUUCCUUUAUUAAAAUUACCAAAGUUUUACUCUAACAUCAAUAGCUUCCUUUAAGUAUUCUUGGCUACUCCUCUUCAGAAAUUAUUUGCUGCUAAAUUGGCAGUAAGAGUAAGAUCAAAUACACAAAAGCUUGUUGAAGCUCAUCAAUCACUACCCUGCGGGUCACUAUGUGGAAGAACUUUUACUUUGUUUUUUUUAAUGUUAUAAAGUUUUUCACUCCAUUGUAUGCCCAAUCUCACUUAGGAUCUAGCCCCGUCUUGCUUUUCAUCUUAUUUUGGUAGGCUAGGUCAGCAUUUGUACACUUUUUACAACAAAAGUACUUCGUCCUUCAAGAAAAAAUUUGUUUUGAAAAUAAUUAAAAAAUACAACAUAAGAGCCCCCUUUCUUAAUUUGGAAAGCUAACCUA